rnacentral:rRNA from 1 species
GACGAACGCUGGCGGCGUGCUUAACACAUGCAAGUCGAACGGAAAGGCCCUGCUUUUGUGGGGUGCUCGAGUGGCGAACGGGUGAGUAACACGUGAGUAACCUGCCCUUGACUUUGGGAUAACUUCAGGAAACUGGGGCUAAUACCGGAUAGGAGCUCCUGCUGCAUGGUGGGGGUUGGAAAGUUUCGGCGGUUGGGGAUGGACUCGCGGCUUAUCAGCUUGUUGGUGGGGUAGUGGCUUACCACGGCUUUGACGGGUAGCCGGCCUGAGAGGGUGACCGGCCACAUUGGGACUGAGAGACGGCCCAGACUCCUACGGGAGGCAGCAGUGGGGAAUAUUGCACAAUGGGCGGAAGCCUGAUGCAGCAACGCCGCGUGCGGGAUGACGGCCUUCGGGUUGUAAACCGCUUUCGCCUGUGACGAAGCGUGAGUGACGGUAAUGGGUAAAGAAGCACCGGCUAACUACGUG